GAAAUGCGAUAAGUAAUGUGAAUUGCAGAAUUCAGUGAAUCAUCGAAUCUUUGAACGCACAUUGCGCCCGCCAGUAUUCUGGCGGGCAUGCCUGUUCGAGCGUCAUUUCAACCAUCAAGCCCCGGGCUUGUGUUGGGGACCUGCGGCUGCCGCAGGCCCUGAAAACCAGUGGCGGGCUCGCUGUCACACCGAGCGUAGUAGAUUCUCAUCUCGCUCAGGGCGUGCUGCGGGUCCCGGCCGUAAAACAGCCUUAUUUUACCCAAGGUUGACCUCGGAUCAGGUAGGAAGACCCGCUGAACUUAAGC
rnacentral:misc_RNA from 1 species